CCUUUAUCUUUCGUCUUACAAUUAGAUUGUAUACAAAGAAGAAACCACUCACACGUUAAAAGAGUGUUACUUUUUUUUGUCGAACAAAACAUUUUAUUAUCAUUCAAAUCCACCACUUACAGGAUACUCAAAUACAAACUACUACCUCUUUAUCUAAAGCUACUUCCAGCCACACGCUAUAAAAAUAAGUGUCCUCUUUUAUGUAUAUAAUCCCCCUAUCCAUUGUCUAUCUUUACAACUAAUUCUUCUCUGUAUAAAAGUAAAACACCUAUAUUUACAUUCCUCCUGGAUCUUUUUGAUCUCCACCUGGGGUAUUGGAACGGCAUGGUUCCAUAGAACUUCAUUCCUUGUGUGCCAUAUGUGGUAAAUUAGUGCUGCUAUCACUGCCCAAAUCAACCCUCUACUUAUCCUGCCCACUACAUAUCUUUCUGUUCUCUUCCAAAUCCCCUAUAGUUCUUUAUUUUGUAACUUAAUCUUCAGCCUCUCCUGUGUCCCUUCCAAGCAUUUCUAGGAGUAGUUUUAUUCAAAGAACAAGUGUUCAAUGGUUU
rnacentral:lncRNA from 1 species